GAUUGAACGCUGGCGGCAGGCUUAACACAUGCAAGUCGAGCGGAGAGAGGUAGCUUGCUACUGAUCUUAGCGGCGGACGGGUGAGUAAUGCUUAGGAAUCUGCCUAUUAGUGGGGGACAACAUUUCGAAAGGAAUGCUAAUACCGCAUACGUCCUACGGGAGAAAGCAGGGGAUCUUCGGACCUUGCGCUAAUAGAUGAGCCUAAGUCGGAUUAGCUAGUUGGUGGGGUAAAGGCCUACCAAGGCGACGAUCUGUAGCGGGUCUGAGAGGAUGAUCCGCCACACUGGGACUGAGACACGGCCCAGACUCCUACGGGAGGCAGCAGUGGGGAAUAUUGGACAAUGGGCGCAAGCCUGAUCCAGCCAUGCCGCGUGUGUGAAGAAGGCCUUAUGGUUGUAAAGCACUUUAAGCGAGGAGGAGGCUACUUUAGUUAAUACCUAGAGAUAGUGGACGUUACUCGCAGAAUAAGCACCGGCUAACUCU
rnacentral:rRNA from 1 species